rnacentral:rRNA from 1 species
CUGGUGAACUGAAAUAUCUAAGUAACCAGAGGAAAAGAAAUCAACCGAGAUUCCGUCAGUAGCGACGAGCGAACGCGGACUAGCCCUUAAGCUGGAUUGGUUCUAGGAAAACACUCUGGAAAGAGUGGCCAUAGAAGGUGACAGCCCUGUAUCUGAAAGGGCCAUUCCAGUGAAGACGAGUAGGGCGGGGCACGUGAAACCCUGUCUGAACAUGGGGGGACCAUCCUCCAAGGCUAAAUACUACUGACCGACCGAUAGUGAACCAGUACCGUGAGGGAAAGGCGAAAAGAACCCCGGAGAGGGGAGUGAAAUAGAACCUGAAACCGUGUGCGUACAAGCAGUAGGAGCUCCGCAAGGAGUGACUGCGUACCUUUUGUAUAAUGGGUCAGCGACUUACUGUUCGUGGCAAGCUUAACCGUAUAGGGGAGGCGAAGGGAAACCGAGUCUGAUAAGGGCGCAUAGUCGCGGGCAGUAGACCCGAAACCGGGUGAUCUAGUCAUGCCCAGGGUGAAGGUGCGGUAACACGCACUGGAGGCCCGAACCCACUCCCGUUGCAAAGGUAGGGGAUGAGGUGUGAUUAGGAGUGAAAAGCUAAUCGAACCCGGAGAUAGCUGGUUCUCCUCGAAAGCUAUUUAGGUAGCGCCUCAUAUGUAUCCUCUCGGGGGUAGAGCACUGUUAUGGCUAGGGGGUCAUCGCGACUUACCAAACCAUUGCAAACUCCGAAUACCGAGACGGACUGUAUGGGAGACACACGGCGGGUGCUAACGUCCGUCGUGAAAAGGGAAACAACCCAGACCCACAGCUAAGGUCCCAAAUUCAGUGCUAAGUGGAAAACCAUGUGGAAAGGCACAGACAGCCAGGAGGUUGGCUUAGAAGCAGCCAC